UAGGGGACUAGACAUGUUCAAGAUGGU
rnacentral:piRNA from 1 species